GGCUAUGUGGCGGAGAGGUUAACGCGUCAGGUUUAGGCCCUGGUCACUACUUGUGGCGUGGGUUCGAAUCCCACCAUAGUCA
rnacentral:tRNA from 1 species